UGCCAGACUCCUACGGGAGGCAGCAGUGAGGAAUAUUGGUCAAUGGCCGGAAGGCUGAACCAGCCAAGUCGCGUGAGGGAAGAAUGUCCUAAGGAUUGUAAACCUCUUUUGUCGGGGAGCAAAAAGGCUCUGCGGAGUCGUAUUGAGAGUACCCGAAGAAAAAGCAUCGGCUAACUCCGUGCCAGCAGCCGCGGUAAUACGGAGGAUGCGAGCGUUAUCCGGAUUUAUUGGGUUUAAAGGGUGCGUAGGCGGAAGGUUAAGUCAGCGGUCAAAUGUCGGUGCUCAACACCGGCCUGCCGUUGAAACUGGUCUUCUUGAGUGAGCGAGAAGUAUGCGGAAUGCGCGGUGUAGCGGUGAAAUGCAUAGAUAUCACGCAGAACUCCGAUUGCGAAGGCAGCAUACCGGCGCUCAACUGACGCUGAGGCACGAAAGCGUGGGGAUCGAACAGGAUUAGAUACCCCAGUAAC
rnacentral:rRNA from 1 species